UGUGACAUCUGUCCCAGAGUUGGCUGAGCCAC
rnacentral:piRNA from 1 species